rnacentral:lncRNA from 1 species
GAGAUCCGAGACCCCGUCGAGAGAGUGAUCGAGAGGGAGAAACCGGUUCUCUCGUUUCCGCCGGAAAUCCGAGAAAUCUUCAAGAGAACGCCUCCGAUCCGGCGAAGAGAGAGACGUUAGUGUCGUCGCCCUUGCUGUAACCACCACUGUCUUUCCUGAUGUCCCUGCGAUCGAGCGAACCCGAGAGAGAAUCCGAGAGAGCCCGAGAGAGAGA